GCGGGAAUAGCUCAUUUGGUAGAGCGACAGCCUUCCAAGCUGUAGGUGGCCGGUUCGAGCCCGGUUUCCCGCUCCA
rnacentral:tRNA from 2 species